UAGUGAAAAGUUUUAUUGUUUAUUUUGGGGUUGUCAGUUUGCAUGCAAGUAUUUGACCCCAACAUUUUAUUUCCAAUUAAUUAGUUUCCACGGUGACUAUGUUAUUGUGAUAGAAGACACUUAUAUGAAUAAUCUAUCUUGUAGGUACGAUAUUCCUGUCAUGGGGUCUGUAUAUCAUGUUCAGGUUCAACAGCUAAAGGAUUAACAAAGCAUCUGCCUUCCAGCUCAUCCAGAGCCACAACAGCUGUGCAGAUGAAAGGGCUGCAAAGCAGAAGAGUGUGGUGGCUGCUAGGAAGACUGGUGAGAAGAUGCCAGACAGACCAAUGCACCUAAGAAGGAGACACUGGGAAAGACUACAGAGGCAGGAAGCCCACAUUCCACCAUGAACAUCUGCUCUCUGGUUUACUUCCUGAAUCUGGAGUCCGUCCAAUAUAGCAGGAGCCACACCCCUUGGGGCUGUCUGUGACUGUGCCUACAUACAGACCUAGCCAGCCAGUGCAGUACCUCUGCUGCGGAACCUGUGAGAUAAUGAAACUGAAAGCAGAGGUCAUAAAGACAACCCCAAAAUCAGUGAUAGCCAAAGUAACCAGGAUUACAAAACAACCAUUCUCAAUGCUGGGGAAGACCAAAAUACAUAGAAGAAAACGGCCAUAUACGCCAUAGCACUGGGAUCAUGGAGCCCGCUCAAAUCACCGUGGCAAUUAUGAACACUGUAAACACAACGUGCAUUAUCCUGGAGUAUAUGCAGAACCAGAACCUGCAAAUGCAAAACCAGGUGAGGUGGCGACAGUAGUGCGGUGACGAGAGUAAUGGGGACAUAGACAUGGACAUAGACUUCUCACAAAAUACGGGCGCCGGCAAU